rnacentral:rRNA from 1 species
CGCCAGACUCCUACGGGAGGCAGCAGUGGGGGAUAUUGCACAAUGGGGGGAACCCUGAUGCAGCGACGCCGCGUGGGUGAAGGAGUAUUUCGGUAUGUAAAGCUCUAUCAGCAGGGAAGAAAGAAAUGACGGUACCUGACUAAGAAGCCCCGGCUAACUACGUGCCAGCAGCCGCGGUAAUACGUAGGGGGCAAGCGUUAUCCGGAUCUACUGGGUGUAAAGGGAGCGUAGACGGUGAGACAAGUCUGAAGUGAAAGCCCGGGGCUCAACCCCGGGACUGCUUUGGAAACUGCCUGACUGGAGUGCUGGAGAGGCAAGCGGAAUUCCUAGUGUAGCGGUGAAAUGCGUAGAUAUUAGGAGGAACACCAGUGGCGAAGGCGGCCUGCUGGACGAUGACUGACGUUGAGGCUCGAAAGCGUGGGGAGCAAACAGGAUUAGAUACCCCAGUA